AUAGAGUAUAAUUUAGUCUCUGAUUAAAAUGAAGUAGUAGAACAAGGCAUGACUUUAAUCCAUACAUUCUAUUUAUGUGUGUUUUAUGGAAUGUUUUCACAGUUUAGUAUUUUUAGCAAAAAGAAUACUAACCCUUAAACAGUCUAUCUCAUGUGUAAGAUUUGUCAUGAUUAAGCUGGCAACUUCAAAUGCAAAUACAGUUUUGAUAUACAAUAUUUUAAAAAUAUGUAUUUAUUGAUUUGAGAGAGGGAGGGUGAGAGAAACAUCCAUCAGCUGCUUCCUGCACAACCCCUACUGGGGAUUGACCUGGAAACCCAUUCAUGUGCCCUGACCGGGAAUUGAACUGGUAACCUUUUAAUGCAUGAACAAUGCUCAGCCAACUGAGCCACACCGACCAGGGCUGGAAAGGCUAUUUUUAAUAACUUGUCAGAAUUUUCCUGAUUCUAAAUUCUAAGACAUUGUCUUGGUUCUCCUAAACAUGGGCCUAUCCUAUGGAGGCAAGUGUCACCCAGAUCAGUGAUGCUUGAAAGCAAACUAUUUUGUUUUUCCAUUUCAGAUCUUACAAACACAAUGGCAUGUAUUGCUAAUUCACUAUCAAAAAGUAAAGUUGAAAUACUAUAAGA